AGACGUUUGAUCCUGGCUCAGAAUCAACGCUGGCGGCGUGCCUCAGACAUGCAAGUCGAACGCGAAAGGUUUCUUCGGAAACCGAGUAGAGUGGCGCACGGGUGAGUAACACGUGAGUAAUCUGCCUUUGGGUGGGGGAUACCAAUCGGAAACGAUUGUUAAUACCGCAUAACGCAGCGGCAUCGCAAGAUGACAGUUGUUAAAGCGGGGGAACGAAGCAAUUCGUCCUCGCGCCAGAAGAGGAGCUCGCGGCAGAUUAGGUAGUUGGUGAGGUAAUGGCUCACCAAGCCUGCGAUCUGUAACCGGCCUGAGAGGGCGGUCGGUCACACUGACACUUAGAUACGGGUCAGACUCCUACGGGAGGCAGCAGUCGGGAAUUUUGGGCAAUGGGCGCAAGCCUGACCCAGCAACGCCGCGUGAAGGAUGAAGCAUUUCGGUGUGUAAACUUCGCAAGAAUAGGAAGAAUAAGAGUAAGCAAAUACCUUGCUCGAUGACGGUACUAUUUGUAAGCCCCGGCUAACUCCGUGCCAGCAGCCGCGGUAAUACGGGGGGGGCAAGCGUUGUUCGGAUUUACUGGGCGUAAAGGGUGCGUAGCGGCACCACAAGUCACUUGUGAAAUCUCCAAGCUCAACUUGGAACGGUCAAGUGAUACUGUGGAGCUAGAGUGCAGAAGGGGCAACCGGAAUUCUCGGUGUAAGCGGGUGAAAUUGCGUAAUAU
rnacentral:rRNA from 1 species